UAUGACCAUAUCAUUUUGAAACUACCUGGCAUUGUACGAUCACUGAAGUUAAGCAAUGUUGAGCCUAGUCAGUACCUAGAUGGAUGACUACUUGGGAUUACCAGUUGCUGUAAG